GACGAACGCUGGCGGCGUGCUUAACACGUGCAAGUCGAACGGUGAAGGGACCAGCUUGCUGGUUCUGGAUGAGUGGCGAACGGGUGAGUAACACGUGAGUAACCUGCCCCCUUCUUCUGGAUAACCGCAUGAAAGUGUGGCUAAUACGGGAUAUUCUGGGUCUGUCGCAUGGCGGGCCCGGGAAAGAUAUUGCUUCGGUGGGGGAUGGGCUCGCGGCCUAUCAGCUUGUUGGUGGGGUGAUGGCCUGCCAAGGCGGUGACGGGUAGCCGGCCUGAGAGGGUGGACGGUCACACUGGGACUGAGACACGGCCCAGACUCCUACGGGAGGCAGCAGUGGGGAAUAUUGCACAAUGGGCGCAAGCCUGAUGCAGCGACGCCGCGUGAGGGAUGGAGGCCUUCGGGUUGUAAACCUCUUUCGCCAGUGAAGCAGGCCUGCUCCUUGUGGGUGGGUUGACGGUAGCUGGAUAAGAAGCGCCGGCUAACUACGUG
rnacentral:rRNA from 1 species